rnacentral:rRNA from 1 species
UACGUCGGUGGCAAGCGUUGUCCGGAAUUAUUGGGCGUAAAGCGCGCGCAGGCGGUCCUUUCAGUCUGAUGUGAAAGCCCACGGCUCAACCGUGGAGGGUCAUUGGAAACUGGGGGACUUGAGUACAGAAGAGAAGAGUGGAAUUCCACGUGUAGCGGUGAAAUGCGUAGAGAUGUGGAGGAACACCAGUGGCGAAGGCGACUCUUUGGUCUGUAACUGACGCUGAGGCGCGAAAGCGAGGGGAGCAAACAGG